CAAACUUUCCAGAAGCCUGGGCUCCAAUAUGGUGUCACUUCUGUUGCAGUUAGCAGAGGUUGCAGGCUUAUUCCAGAUUCAAGAACAAGGAGCUGUCUGAAGUUCCUCUGUAAAUAGUCCAUGACCACAGGACCUCACAUUACCAGGAGAGAUUAAGCAUCGCAUCGAUUAGGCACAUUCACCUGGUGGAGCCCAGGCCAGCAGGGCUGUCAGGAGCUGUCUCCAAGCAUGCCUGAUGAUCAAAGUGAAGUUCUUUAAGAACAAACAACCCUCUCUUUGAGGAGAAUAUCCAAAUGAAGUGAGAGGCUGCUUUUUGCACAGAGAAGUGGGUAAUACGAGGAACCCACAGCUGUGGUAUGUGGCUCCCGAAAACCCAGGAGGGAAUUAGAUACUGCAAGAAGAAUAUGGACAAUGCAAUGACUCCAACUACGCACAAAGGCUUUUGUUGUUGUUUUUGUUUUUUUUUCUUUGUUUUGUUUUGUUUUGUUGUUUGAGACAGGGUUUCUCUGUGUAGUCUUGAUUGUCCUGGAACUCACUCUGUAGACCAAGCUAGCCUCAAACUCACAGAGAUCUGCCUACCUCUGACUCCCAAGUGCUGGAAUUAAAGGCAUGCACCACCAUCACCUCCUGUGAU
rnacentral:lncRNA from 1 species